rnacentral:antisense_RNA from 1 species
AGCCAUUUUCAACUCCAUAUUAGUUGUUGGUGGUUAGCGGUAUGGGGGUGUUGCAGCACCUUCAUAUCGCGAA